CAGGUAUAAUGAAUUUGAUCAGCCUGUUUGCCGGGUUUGUGAAGUUGUUUUGAAGUCUGAGUCCCUAUGGGAUGCACACCAAGUUUCUCGUAAGCAUCGUGAGGCAAUAAGUAACCUUAAAGCUAAUGCGGCCGGUUUAACUAAGCAUACCAAUGCGAAGACUGAUAUUCCAAAGGCUAAACCUGAACAGCCUUCAGCCUCACAGUUCAAAGUUCCUCAAAGUUCACAGGAAGUGCCUAAACCUCAGUCAUCAUCAGUUCUUCCAUCAGAUUUUUUUGACAACAAUGAUGCAAAAAAGACAAGAUCUG